rnacentral:rRNA from 1 species
UACGGGGGAGCAAGCGUUGUUCGGAUUUACUGGCGUAAAGGGCGCGUAGGCGGUAGCACAAGUCAGUUGUGAAAUCUCCGGGCUUAACUCGGAAAGGUCAACUGAUACUGUGCGACUAGAGUGCAGAAGGGCAACUGGAAUUCUCGGUGUAGCGGUGAAAUGCGUAGAUAUCGAGAGGAACACCUGCGGCGAAGGCGGGUUGCUGGGCCGACACUGACGCUGAUGCGCGAAAGCCAGGGAGGCGAACGGG